CCAAAGCACACUAAAAAAUAUGAAAACAUUUGAAACAAGCGUCUUCCAUUUUCCAAUCUCAGUUUCCGUGUGAAAGUGUUGUGAAGUGCUUCCAUCUUGGGAAAUAACGACAACAAAUUAUAUGAAUAUGAAUAUAGGAAAAAUUCGGAAGGAGUUGAGGUGACCUUUUAGGUCGAAGAAAAGAAAUGAUCUAGGGGUCUUAGAGCACAGUCUUGUCCCUUUUUGGGCUGGGCUGCUAAGGGAUCUCCCCGAAAUCAUUUCCAACUCUAGCCAUCGAGGGACCAAGAGCGAAAAAGCAAGAUAUAUAAACGUCAAU